AUGGGCAAGAAUUUGUGGGUUCCAAUUGGGCAUACAGGGUCACAUUGGCUUGCACUGCUCCUCGGUCUUAAAGGUACAAAACAUAUAUAAAUAACACAUAAUAUAAUACUGAACCUCUCACUUCCAUCUCCAAGACUUUGUUCAUGCCACACCAGUUCUCCGAAAUACAAAACCCCUAACUCUCAGACUCUUAACCACAGGGCUGGUGCAAGGAUUUUUCCCACCCUAGGCAAAAGCUAAUUUUGCCAACCCUGACUCCGCCCACUGGCUCGCCCAUUGAUUCUUAGUACUGGGGUAACACACUGUAACAAGCCCCCUCCUCAUGUAAUCACCUUACUACUGCGGUGACACUCUGUAACAAACCUCCUCCUCAUGUAAUCUCCUAAUACUGGAGUGAAAACACUGUAACAAACCCCCUCCUCAUGUAAUCUACUUACUACUGCAGUGACGCUCUGUAACAAGCCCCCUUCUCAUGUAAUUAGCUUACUACUGGAGUGACACACUGUAACAAGCACCCUCCUCAUGUAAUCACCUACUACUGGAGUGACAACACUGUAACAAACCCCUCCUUAUGUAACUACUUUACUACUACUGGGGUGACACAUCAGAGAGGGGUUAUGGUGGUGCUGCUGGCUGAGCAGAUUUUACCAUAAAGCUGAACAUAUGCAAUAAUUCUGUCAGGACUUUUAAUGUAUGGUGGCCAUCUUUCUAUAAGUGCAAUUGGAGGAGAGAAGGGAUGCACACCACCACUACAUUUAUUCUGUAUGGGAGCUGCCUUAAAACAGCCAAACACUGCACUACUUAUCUGAGGAAGGGGUGAGUGCACCCAAAACGCGCCAUCAUGCUACUCAUUGGAUCUCCAGCUCCUGUGACCUUUGGCUAGCAGCUUUCUCCACAUUGCAGUACCCCAGCAUUAUGGGAUGAUUCACCUGUUUUAUCAUUGCUCCAGGGGAAUUCCAUCUCAAGCAGCUGAGGGACCAAGACAAAACACAGGAAGUGGAGGUGGGGCUUAGGCAGUUGUAUGCGGAGAAGAAGGCCUGGACUGUGUAUAUGCAAGCAGAGCCAGUCUGCCUCCUCCUGAGGGACUCUACAGAUUGCUUGGAAUCAGAACAGCCUGUGACGUCCGGAGAUGUCGUGGAAAAGAUGGUUUGGAAAAGCUGCACGUGUCACCUAAAGCUUUCAUUCAAGAGCUCAACCCAAACAGCGAAACUUCAAGCAGAUCUGUCAACUCUUAAGUUUUAACAAGAUCUCGGCGAUGAAAUGUGCCAUUUUUUGUUAGUAAAGCAGAGCCGGACAACUCGAUUUCCCACUUCGGGUCCUCGUGUGAAUGGGUUUCAACAAUGGCAUCUUGAGAAAAUAAUCCCAUUUCGCUUUGUAUGGAGACGGGCUGAAUAACACAACUAUCAAAUUAUUUUCGUGGCUGCAUUGAAUCAAACAGUGGCAAAUUCCUUUGUCACCUCCUCAGAGAGGCAUCUUGAGCUAUGACAGUUUUUCUUGUCAACGACUGUACUAUUUUAAUAAAGGACUUCAUCUGCGUUCAAGACUUCAACUCAAAUACAAGUCGUUCUCAUUUCAAAUUAUAUUUCGGAGCCCUCCAAAUUUCAUAUGUAGAAAGUUUUCUAUAGAGAACUUUGAAGAACAUUUCUUGGGGCUGUAUUUAAAGAGUACCUGUCCCCAAACUAAACUUUUAAUAUAUUGUUCCUUAUAUUAUUAUAAGACACUUUGCUAUUUACUUGCUGUUAAAAUUCUCAACCUUUAUAUGUUUUUAAUGUGAUUGAAAAAAGAUGGCCACUAGGUGGCUCUGUUCUGUUCCCAGACAGUUUGUACUCCACCCGGACUUGCAGAAGUCCAAACUCAGUGGCAUGUUGAGGCACAGCUCUCACAGGCUUCUGUAAUGUCGCCCCUGCUGGGGAACGCUCCAACUUUCUCCUGCCAGGAGCUCACUCAAUGUGAGCAACAGGAAAGGUAUUAUACACAGCUUUUUAAAGAUCGGAAUUUUUUUUUUUAGGGCAAGAGGAGUGUUAGGAAUAGUUAGUGAAUAUAAUCUGAGUUAGUUUAGAAAAUAUGGUUUGAUGACAGGUACUCUUUAAGACUAUCAGCUUUUAGUCAUUGUUAUCAUAUAUACAGUAUAUAUAUAUAUAUAUAUAUAUAUAUGUUACUGAAUAUAUAGAGGAAUACUAUAUAUGUUCAGAAAAUCUACAUAGGCGCAUUGUUUUUUACUGUGAAAAAAAAAAACAUUUAACCCUGAUGAUGCAGCUAAAAAAUAGCUUUUUCUCGUUUUAUUUAUUUCCUCCUCGCCUUUUAAAAUCCUCAGGGCUUGUUUUAUGCAGGACCAAUUGUAAUUUGUAAUGACAUCACUCAUUGUAGCACAAAAUCUAUGGCAAAAUUGAAAAUGCAAUUUUGCAAAGAUUUUGUGGCUUUCUUUUUAUCAUUUAUGGUUAAAAUGAUAUGUUAUCUUUUCUGUAGGUCCAUACGAUUACAAAGAUACCCAAUUUAUAUAGGUUUUGUUUAAUCUGAUUUACAUUUUUUUUAAACGUAACUUUUUGCAAUAA